rnacentral:rRNA from 1 species
ACAUGAAGCUGGAAUCGCUAGUAAUCGCGAAUCAGAAUGUCGCGGUGAAUACGUUCCCGGGUCUUGUACACACCGCCCGUCACACCAUGGGAGAUGGAUAUGCCCGAAGUCAGUGACCCAACCGCAAGGGGGAGCUGCCGAAGGUGGAGCCAUUAACUGGGUGAAGUCGUAACAAGGUAUC